CCUAGGGUCUGAGAACAGGCAGAAGCUUCUUUAGAAAUUGAGUUGAAGAGAGGUUAAUGUUCUUUUGGGAUGCAAAUGAGGAGAAGAGUGUUUUAUGGAAGAGGGAUGUGGUAAGAUCUUCCCAUGUGACCUUGCUGAGACACACCUGGAAUACUAUGUUCAGGUGGGCACCUGCAUACUUGAGAUGAUGAUGACCUGGAAGGAAUUCAGGAGUGAGCAACAAAAGUGAGGAGACUGAUGAAGUUAUAAAAUUCAAGGAGCUGCAUCUGUGAAGCUUGGCUAGGGGAUGACUAAAUGGGGAUGGGAAACCAUUCCACAAACAACAUGGAGGAGCAGUGAACAGGGAAGGAGAAGCUUCCUCUGGUCAAUCCUGUUCAAUAUGCAAAGAGAAGGAGGUGUUCAAAAACCCAGACAUAGCAGUCUAGUGGGACCCAAGUUUUAAAGAACAAAAAGACUGAAAUAAAACCUGACCUUACACAUCA